GCCGCUCUCGCUCUCUCUUUCUGUGCCUUUCGGGACGAGCGACCAUGCAAGAGGCGGCAAACGUGCCGCAAGUUUAGCGUCCGCGUUAGUGCGUGCGUGAGGGAUGCCUCCCCGGGCAACACUGUGAGGAGUCUAGAGCCGCAUCCCCCUCGAGGUGCCGGUGCCGCCGCACGAUGGACUGUCCUCGCGAUUAGCGCGAGCGAGGGGCGAGGCUCUUGCUUAUCUGUCUGACGCUUGCAUGGAAGAGCGGUCGCGCUUUCCGUCUGGGGGGCCCGUAUCCUCUCGCUACCUCGGUUGUGGGCGCGGCUAACUGGCUAAUGACUAUGGCACAUCCGCAGGGCGACUCCACGGUAAUAGAGCACAGGGUGUUGGGUUUUGUGUCUGGGUACCCGCUGGAGUACCGGGAGCAGCCUCGUCGUAUAACUUUUCAUCUUGGUUCCUGGUAGCACUACUCGUUAGUUCUUUUGUCGCGCACCCAUGGUUUGCGGAAAGAGGGGCACCUCCACGGUCCCUCGUCCGGCGAGGCUCUGAGCGCAGAGCCUUCUUACGGAGUACUCCUGCUUCCGCCUCCCCUUGCCGUGAUGGAUACGCCUGAUUCCGUGUUGUUGACGGCGCUCGUUUGCGCUUUCCGGAUUUCCGUGAUGGGCAGCCGUAAUGUGUACGAGGGGUGACUGUUGGUCGCGCCGUGGGGCUGCUUUUCCUGCUGCGACGACAACUUUGCUGCCGAUAUUCCAUCUGGAGCUGUUGCAUCGCCUUGCGCUUCUGUUUGCACUGGCGCAAAGAAGUGACUGCUGCAGCCAGCAGCGCACGCUUCUUUUCGUUGUCUGUGCUUUUAGUGGGUACUGUGUCCGUGACUGCGAGGGCAUGAUGGGAUGCGCAACAGCGAACCACAGGGAAAGCCGCCACCGUUUGCGCCCCUCGGCACGCAUGACAGAACUUCUCCUCUCGCUUGCACUUACACACGGCUGACUGCCACGUCUUGUG
rnacentral:misc_RNA from 1 species